rnacentral:rRNA from 1 species
UACGUAGGGUGCGAGCGUUGUCCGGAAUUAUUGGGCGUAAAGAGCUCGUAGGCGGUUUGUCGCGUCGACUGUGAAAACCCGAGGCUUAACCUCGGGCCUGCAGUCGAUACGGGCAGACUAGAGUUCGGUAGGGGAGACUGGAAUUCCUGGUGUAGCGGUGAAAUGCGCAGAUAUCGGGAGGAACACCAGUGGCGAAGGCGGCACUCUGGGCCGGAACUGACGCUGAGGAGCGAAAGCGUGGGUAGCAAACAGG